rnacentral:rRNA from 1 species
UACAGAGGGUGCAAGCGUUAAUCGGAAUUACUGGGCGUAAAGCGCGCGUAGGCGGCUGCCUAAGUCGGAUGUGAAAGCCCCGGGCUCAACCUGGGAACUGCAUUCGAUACUGGGCGGCUAGAGUAUGAGAGAGGGAGGUAGAAUUCCACGUGUAGCGGUGAAAUGCGUAGAUAUGUGGAGGAAUACCGGUGGCGAAGGCGGCCUCCUGGUUCAAUACUGACGCUGAGGUGCGAAAACGUGGGGAGCAAACAGG